UGAAGUGAAGUCGGCGGCCAUUCGCCAUCACGUCCUCGUCACUACCACGACCAUAACUUCCACAGCCAGCGUCUGAUUGCCGCGGUGAGGCGAGGUCCUGUGUGGUCGCCCUUCCAUUUGGCCUGUCCUCCUGCCUGCCAUCUUGCGCAUCUUGCCCAGCGCCUUACUCGUUCGAACGGUUUUCGGCCUCGACUGUUGUCAAUCGCUCUCUCAAAGAUCCACAUGUACUCCCUUCCAGGGGACAACUGUUGCGUCUGGCCCUCACGACAAGCGGCCAGGUGGGGGUGCGUUCGAACGAAGGAGAGAGUUCUGGCGAUAGCACAGAUAGCAGUGACUGCGGGAGAGGAGAAUGGAGUGCAGGUUCGUGGAGAACGGUUCACCAGGGUGGACUUGGGCAGAAUGCCCCUCGGCACGGGAAGGUCUGGGAAGGAAACAGCGAUUUAAGCACUACAACGAAUACUAUUGCGACGCACGCUAGAUCGUACACCUGCCUUCCCAUCGAACAUCCAAAGCAUACUGCUAUAUGCGAUAAAGGAAGCGGGAGUUUCAAUCUUGAGAGCCUGAGCAGGAGGAAGGACCACUACUAUAUAUUCAACGUCUUUUCCAUUGUUCGGAUUCCUACUAGGAGGUCAACCGUGCUUACGCCCGGAUUCGAACCGAGACUACUUCACAUGUCUCCAAUAUGAUGGGUGAAUUUUUCAGCUUUUGUAUUUACCACGACCGUAGCAAUGAAAGGAUUCUCGGCACAGAAAAUCUAAGUAUAGCUCAAUAGCGCGUUCGUAGAAUCGAUCAUCUCAUCGUAGCUAAGCCAAUAAGCGUAAGCCAGAAAACGGAAGGAACGCACGCUACAGUAUUGAAACUAAA